GCUUGUCUCAAAGAUUAAGCCAUGCAUGUCUAAGUAUAAGUAUUAUACAGCGAAACUGCGAAUGGCUCAUUAAAACAGUUAUAGUUUACAUGAUAAUCGAAUUUACAUGGAUAACCGUGGUAAUUCUAGAGCUAAUACAUGCUGGCGUGCCCGACUUUUGUGGAAGGGCGGUAUUUAUUAGACUUAAGCCAAUAUUCCUUGUGUCUAUUGCGAUGAUUCAUAAUAACUGAUCGAAUCUCAAAUUUGAGAUAAAUCAUUCAAGUUUCUGCCCUAUCAGCUUUCGAUGGUAGUGUAUUGGACUACCAUGGCAGUAACGGGUAACGAAGAAUUAGGGUUCGAUUUCGGAGAGGGAGCAUGAGAAACGGCUACCACAUCUAAGGAAGGCAGCAGG
rnacentral:rRNA from 1 species